CGACCUUAAAGCGGGCCCACCAGCGACUGUCCUGGGUCCGCAGCGCCUAAUGUAGCAGAGUAGAGCCGCAGGGUCCGGGUCCUGGGACAUCCAGGGCAAUUGGCGGUAUGCUGUUCGAAGCAGUGAGUUCCUCCAGCAGUUUGUUUCCUGGCAUUCCCUAUCUCACAGCCUUGAUGGAGUUCGUUGAGGAAGUGACGAGGGUGAUUGAUAAGGUUGCGGCAAUAGAAAUUGCCUACAGGGACCAGUGAAACAUCUGACAAGAUCUUCAAGGUAGGCUAGUUCAGAGAUGGGGGCACAUAGAUAGACAUACUUUAUUGAUCCCGAGGGAAAUUGUGUACAUGAUAUCCACAAUGAGGUAGAAUACUGGCAGCAAAGAGGGUGUACAGGAGUGAAGUAGAUCACCUUGACCUACCGUCAAAUUUCUGUCAUUUUUGAUCCCUGGGUUCUUUAAGGAGUUCAGGAAUGAGUGAGGAUCUUUGAUUCUUCAUGAUUGUUUAUUUUAAAGUUAAACAAAGAUACAGAGCAUUUGAAACUAACCAAGGAGCUGAGAAGCAAAGCAGAGGUUCAACAGAUUCAAUAACAAAAAGAAGAUGGCGCCUUUGAAAAAUCUAUCACCUUCAUCCUUGAGAUAACAGAAAUUCCUUUGAUAACAGAAUACAAUCAAAAAAUUAUAUAAUUAAAACAAAUAUAACACGUGUAUAAUGUGCUAAUACUUAGCCAAUUAAAAAUGAAAAGAUAUAUCACCUUCUGCUAGUAAGGUGGGGAUAAGCCACCAUACUGUGAAAAAUAGAUGAGUUUGUUAAAAAUACAAAUUAUGUCAGUUAAAACUAUGAUUUGAGUUGUACUUUAAUUUAACUAAUACGUUAUAUACAGUAUAAAAGCGUAUAAAAAUGGGGUCAGCGGUGGAAGGAGUAAGCACCCAGUCCCUGGGUGUCAAUGUCUCUGAAGAUCUAUCCUGAGCCCAACACAUUGACGAAUUGCAGAGAAGGCACAUUGGUGACUACGCUUCAUUAGGAUUUUGAGGAGAUUUGGCAUGUCACCAAAGAUUCUAGCAAGUUUCUACAGAUUUGCCACGGGGACCAUUCUGACGGGCUGUCUCACUGCCUGGUACGGAGGGGCCAGUGCACAGGACCAGAGAAAGCUGCGGAGGGUUGUAAACUCAGCCAGUCCCAACAUCGGCUCUAUUCCUCACUCCAUCUAGGACAUCUUCAAGUGGUGGUUUGAUCACUCAGGACUCUCACUAUCUGGGAAGUGCCCCCUUGUGGCCAUCGAACUUUGCAGCUCCUCCCGUGGAGGGUCAGACACCCUGAGCCAAUAGGCUGAUCCUGGACUUAUUUCCAUCUGGCAUAGUUUGCAUUUUGUUGUUUGAUUGUUUGUGGUUUUUGUAUUGCUAUAUUUACGCUCUAUUCUUGGUUGGUGCGGCUGUAACGAAACCCAAUUUCCCUCGGGAUCAAUAAAGUAUAUCUAUCUAUCUAUCUAUUGUCAUUACUACCAUCAGGGAGGAGGUACAGGAGCCUGAAAGCACACUCACUAAAAGCACAUGAAAAUUUCUACAGAUGUAACUUGGCGAGCAUUCUACUGGCCGCGUCACCGUCUGGUAUGGGAGGUGGGGGCUGGUGGGGGCUACUGCACAGGAUCGAAGUAAGCAGUAGAGAAUUGUAAACUUAGCCCCAUCAUGGGCACCAGCCUCCGUAGUAUCCAGGACAACUUCAAAGAGCGACGCCUCAAAAAGAUGGCGUCCAUCAUUAAGGACUCCCACCACCCUGGUCAUGUCUCGUUCUCACUGUUACCAUCAGGUAGGAGGUACAGAAGCCUGAAGGCACACACUCAGCGAUUCAGGAACAGCUUCUUCCCCUCUACCAUCUGAUUCCUAAAUGGACAUUGAACCCUUGGACACUACCUCACUACUUCCUAAUUUCUAUUUUUGCGCUAUUUAAUGUAUAUACUUACUGUACCUCACUGAUUUUUCUCUAUUAUUAUGUAUCGCAUUGUACUGCUGCGGCAAAGACAGCAAAUUUCACGACAUACGCCGGUGUUAUUUAACCCGAUUCUGAUUCAGCGAGUUUCUUCCCCUCGGCCAUCAGAUUGCUGUCUGGGCAAUGAAGCCACACACACCAUCGUGAAUGUGGAGGGUGAACGCCAGCUGCCUGCUUUCUGAUCGCUGGUGGGAUCGCUUCGCUGCCAAAGAGAGGAGCGCGUGUGGCCUGUUGCUGUGCCCGCAGGAUGUUAUCAAGGUUUCCUGUGUUUAUGCAUUUGGACAAUGGGCUAUGCACUUUUUUUCAGUCACAGUUUUUUUUGUAGUCUGUGUUUUCGCAUGUUCUUUCUCAUUUUUUUUGUGCAGGAGAGGAGGAUUUGGGGGCUGAUGUUCUUGUUGUGUUUCGAGCGGGGUGGUGGGGGGUUUUGGAGUCGAUCGUGCUGAUGUUUUUUUUUGCGGGGGGGUUUGUUUGCUGUUUCUCCCUGAUGGACUUUCAUGGUUUUUCUCUGUUUCGUGGCUAUCUGGAGAAGUGGAAUCUCAGAGUUGUAUACUGCAUACAUACUUUGAACCUUUUUGAACCAUCUCAUUAUCCCUCUUUCUUUGUACAAAUUAUUUAUUUCUGACACUUAUGUGUUUCUAUGUAUUGCACUAUACUGCUGCCGCAAUACAACAGAUUUCAUGUCUUACGUCAGUGAUAAAAAACCUGAUUCUGAAUCAGUCGAGUACUAAGUUGGCAGAGGGCAGUGGUGGAGGGGUGUUAUUCUGACUGGAGGUCCAUGACCAGUAGGGUUCCACAGGGAUCAUCUGGGGAACCUCUGCUGUUUGUAAGAUAUGUGAGCCAGAUGAAAAUGGAGGUUAGUAAGUUUGCAGGCAAGAUGAAAAUUGACGGAGUUAUGGAUAAUGAGGAAGGUUGUGCCUUGAUUCAGUGGGAUCCACCGCACAGGGUCGGAAAAAGCUGCAGAAAGUUGUAAACUCAGACAGCGCCAGCCUCCCCAGCAUCCAGGACAUCUUCAAAAGGCGAUGCCACAAGAAGAUGGCGUCCAUUAUUGGGAACCCUCGCCAUCUUCUCAUGGCUACCAUCGGGGAGAAGGUACAGGAGCCUGAAGACACACACUCAAUGUUUUGGGAACAGCUUCUGCCUCACCACCACCAGAUUUCUGAACGGUGCAUGAACCCAUGAACACUACCUCACUGGAAAUAAUUCAGAAGCUGGGUAGCUCCGGUGGUCCAACCACUGCUUGAGUUACACGUCUUCGCAAUUAUUUCCAACACCUUUGGGCAUCAAACGCUCAAAUGUGCUUGCUGUUGGGAGAACCGCCAGCAGGCAGGCCUCCACAUGUGCGUGACUCGUCUUCCCCAUCAACACCAUUUUGCUCUCUUUAUGCAUUACCUACAUUCUCUAUUAUAACUUAUGGUAAAUUUUUAUAUCUGUCACAAAACAACAAAUAUCACGAUAUACCACAGUGAUAUUAACCCUGAUUCUGUGGAUGCAUUUGGAAAUUUGGGCGAUGGAAUUUAAUCGGGACGAGUGUGAGGUGUUGCAUUUUGGAAUGUCAGAGUUUGGACGUUUGCUCGGCUCUGCGCCGAACUGGGGGUCUCGGACCCUCCCUGUGACCUUCAGUUCAGAAUGCUAUUUGCUUGCCGUCAUUAUGUGCAUGUUUUGUUUUUUUUUCCUCUGCACAUCGGGGUGUUUGGUGGUCGUUUUUUGGGGAUUCUUUUGUGUUUCUUUGUUUUGUGGCUGCCUGUUAGGAGAUGAAUCUCCGGGUUGUAUAAUGCAUACAGACUUUGAUCUUGAUCACGCAGGUAGAAUGGAUUAGUUUUGUUAGGUAUUUAAUUACUAAGCCAAUUAGUUUGACGCAGGAUGAUCCAGAAGGCAUUUCCUGCACUGGACGGUCCUGUGUUCCAUGUACAGUAAAUGACAGAAGCCUUCGGAGCCCUAAUGUACAGAGGGAUCUUGGGGUGGAGGUCGCCAUCUUAAGAGUGGCCACAGAGGUGGUCAAGGAGGCAAAACCCACACUGACCUUCACCAGGCAGGACAGGGAGUAUGAUUGUUAGGUAGUCUUGUUGCAGCUCUAUAAAACAUUUGGAGUUUUGUACACAGUUCUGGUCAUGUCAUUACAGGGAGAAUGCAAGAGUUCAAUUCCCAAUGCCGUAUGUAAGGAGUUUCUACAUUCUCCCCCAGACCAUGUGGGUCUCCUCCUUCAUUUCAAAGACAUAUAACCAUAUAACAAUUACAGCACGGAAACAGACCAUCUCGGCCCUUCUAGUCCAUGCCGAACUCUUACUCUCACCUAGUCCCACCGACCUGCACUCAGCCCAUAACCCUCCAUUCCUUUCCUGUCCAUAUAGCUGUCCAAUUUAACUUUAAACGACAACAUCGAACCUGCCUCAACCACUUCUGCUAGAAGCUCGUUCCACACAGCUAUCACUCUCUGAGUAAAGAAGUUCCCCCUCAUGUUACCCCUAAACUUUUGCCCUUUAACUCUCAACUCAUGUCCUCUUGUUUGAAUCUCCCCCACUCUCAAUGGAAAAAGCCUAUCCUGGGUUAAGGUUAGUAAGUUGUGGGCAUGCCAUGUUGGUUUUGGGAGCGUAGUCCCCAGCACAUCUCGGACUAAGUCGGUCGCUGACACAAACGACACAUUUCCCUGUAUGUUUCGAUGUUUCAAUGCCCACGUGAGAAGUAAAAGUAAUCUUUAAGGUUGCUGUUGUAACGCCACUCAACCAGCUAGUCUGUCUCGCUGCUUUACACCUCCUCGUUGCCAUCCAAGAUCCUGCCAACAGGAGUGUCACUGGUGAAUUUAUAGAUGGCAUUUGAGCUGUGCCGAGCCACACAGUGGUGGGUGUAGGGAGAGUAGAGCAGUGUGCCAAGCACACAACCCCGAGGUGUGCCUUCUGCCCCAACUUCCCAAAUAUUCCUUGUGUUCAGCUACAGUGGGGAUGAACCCCCCCUCCCCCCACAGGUGACUGUUACUGCAGGUGACAGUGGCUGAUUACGGCUACAAACCAUUGCAGAGUUGUCAUUUUAAUAGCUUUCAUGUUAAAACCGGCUUUAAGGAGCCUUAAAACCAGCCACUUUGGGCAGAUGGGGUUCGUCAGACAUGGUUGGCAGCUUAUCUAGGAAAAGGAAAACUCUGAUCUGAAACCUCCGCUGCCUUGAGGCUAUACCCACUCAUGAGGAAGGCUUCGAGAGUAAACCCCGAGGGAAAAAUCCGGAGCUGGAGUCCCUAAGGCAGUCCUACGUUGAGUUCAGUGCUGACUGGCAACUCCUGCGAUGCUGCUGGUGCCCAACUGUGUUGAUCUCUGCCAUUCCUUUGGGUUCAUCAGAUGCCUGGGGAGGGGGAAUUAGCUACAUGAGCGACAGUUUGCUCUCCAAAUUGUUCUGCCCAGGUUUGCGCGUCUUGGAGAGAGCUAGAACACAACAUCCCUGGUCAACCCAGACCAACAGAGAGCCUGGCACGUUAUUGAAGUGAAGUAAGGAGAGUGGAUUGUGUUCAUGUGGUUAGAACAUCGAGAAUCCACAGCACAUUACAGGCCCUUCGGCCCACAACGUAACCUGCUCUAGAGCUGCCUAAGAUUACCCUACCGCCCAGCCCUCUAUUUUUCCAAGAUCCAUUAAGAGUGUCUCAAAAGACCCUACUGUAUCCAACCCUAUGGUUCCUGCUCCGAUUACAGGAAAACAGUUCACCAGUGGAAGUGGUACCUGCAGGUUCGAUUGCAACAUUGAAGAGGAGUUUGGAUAAGUACAUGAAUGGAGAGGUAUGGAGCGCAAUGGUCCUGAUGCCUUUCAAUGGGACUUAGGCAGACGACCAGGUCGGCAUAGACUAGAUGGGCCAAAAGGCCUCUUUCUGUGCUAUGGUACUCCAUGAUUAUUUUGGUGAGGCCAAAUUUGAGUGUUGUGUACGGUUCCUGUCACUUACCGACGGGAAGGAUAUCAAUCAGAUUGAAAGAGUACGGAGAAAAUUGACAAGGAUGUUACCGCGACUUGAGGACCUGAGUUACAGGGCAAGGCUGAAUAGGUACCUGCAUCAUUAUUCCCUGGAGUAUCGGAGAACAAGGGGAGAUCUGACAGAGGUAUACAAAAUCCUGAGGGGUAUAGAUAUGGACAAAGCCUGCUGGCAUUUACCCUGAGAUUGGGGGAGAUUAGGUCAUGAGUUAAGGGUGAAAGGUGAAAUGCUUAAGGUGAACAUGAGGGGAACUUCUUCGCUCAGAGGUUGGUGAGAGGGUGGAACGAGCUGCCAGUGCAGGUGGUGCAUGCAGGUUUGAUUUCAACAUUAAAGAGAAAUUUGGACAGGUAUACGUGUGUUGGGAGUGGGGGGGCAAUGGUCCAGGUACAGGUCGAUGGGAAUAGCACCUCGGCAUGGACAAGGUGAGUGUUUCUGUGCUUAGUGAUCUACGACAUUAUGUAUUCUGGCUGAAUUACGUUAAAGAACAAUGUGAAUAAAGAGCGGUUCAGUAUCCCUCAGAACUGCAGCACUUCACAAUUCCCAAUCCCGACCGCCAGUGCUCUCUGUGUGCAGCUUCCAGGUUUGCCCUGUGACCACCAGGGUUUCCCUUGGGUAUCACAGAGUCAUCAAACACCACAGCAUGCAAGCAGGCCCUUCAGCCCAUCUAGUCCAUGCCGACCAGUUACUCUACUCAGUCCCAUCGACCUGCACCCGGACAUUAGCCCAACAUACCCCUCCCUUCCAUGUACCUAUCCAAACAUCUCUUAAAUAUUGCAAUCAAACUCACAUCCACUGGCAGCUCAUUCCUCACUCCCACCAGCAACUCAGUGAAAACCUUCCCCCUCCCUGGUUCCCCUUUCACUCUUAACCCAUGACCUUUAGUUCUAGUCCCACCCAACCUCAGUGGAAAAAGCCUAUACCCUCAUAAUUUUGGAUGAAAUCUCCCCUCUUUGAUUUUCUAUCAAAUCUCCCCUCAUUCUCCUACACUCCAGGAAUAAAACUCUGACCUAUCCAACCUUUCCCUAUAAUUCAGCUCAAUUCCCGGCAGCAUCCUUGUAACUUUUCUCUGCACUCUUUCAAGUUUAUUGAUAUCUUUCCUAUUCAGGUGACAGAACGACACACAAUGCUCCAAAUUAGGCCUCACCAACACCUUGUACGAGAUAGCUGUUAAGCACCAGAGUGCAAGUCCCCAGAAUUCUCCUGCGUAUCAGUAGCUCCACAAUAGUUGAUUACUUGGGGUCAGAUGUGGACCAGGUGAGUCAAAUGGCCAAGUCCCUGAGCUCAGCCCUCGCCAAGCUGCUGGGGAAGGGGCGGCCUCUCCCACAAUCUUAUCAACCUGACACACGGAGGGCUGAGUGGCCUCUCUUUGACUGUAAGACAUGGGAGCAGAAUUAGAACUCGGGCCAUCCCGUCCACUCUACCAUUCCAUCAUGGCUGAUUUAUUGUCCCUCGCAACCCCAUUCCCUAGCCUUCUCCCUGUAACCUUCGAUGCCUUGGCUAAUCAUGAACCUAUCAACAUCUGCCUUAAAUAUAUACAAUGACUUGGCCUCCACAGGUGUCUGUGGCAAUGAAUUUCACAGAUUCACCACCCUUCGACUAAAGACAUUCCUCCUCAUCUCUGCCCUAAAGGGACAUCCUUCUGUCUGAGGCUGUGUCCUCUGGUCCUAGACUCCCCCACUAUAGGAAACAUCCUCUCCACAUCCGCUCUAUCUGUGUCCUCUGGUCCUGGACUCCCCCACUAUAGGAAACAUCCUCUCCACAUCCACUCUAUCUGUGCCCUCUGGUCCUAGACUCCCCCACUAUAGGAAACAUCCUCUCCACAUCCGCUCUAUCUGUGUUCUCUGGUCCUAGACACCCCCAGUAUAGGAAACAUCCUCUCCAUAUCCAGUCUGUGUCCUCUGGCCCUAGACUCUACCACUAUAGGAAACAUCCUCUCUAUCCAGGCCUUUCACCAUUCAAUGGAUCUCAAGGAUCCCAUUCCUCUAAACUCUAGUGAGUACAGGCCCCAAGCCAUCAAAUGCGCCUCACACAUUAACCCUUUCAUUCCUGGGAUCAUUUAUUCCACUGUCAUAUGCAGUGGGGGUGGUGACAGGGAUAACAAGGGAGGGGACAAACGCCGUGUAAAUCACAGUCACUCUGCCUGGAAACAGUCCAUUCAGCUGAACUGGUCCACACUGACCAGGAUUCCUGUUCAAGCUGGUCCCUUUUGCCUGUGUUUGACCCAUAUCUCUCAUCUGAUCUAUCCAACUCUCCAUCCAAGUGCCUUUUAAAUGUCGUAAAUGUACCUGGCUCUGGCAGCUGAAUCCACCUACAAACCACAUUCUAGGUGAAAAAGUUGUUCCUCAUAUUCUUUCCUCUCUCACUUUUAACCAGUGCCCUCUGGUUCUUGAUUAAUCAACCCUGGGGAAAAGACUGAGUGCACUCAUCUGAUCUGUGCCCCUCGUGGUUUUAUACGCCUCGUCAUUCCAAUCAAUGAAGUCCCAGGCUGUUCAUCCUCUCCCUAACUCAAUCCCUCGAAUCCUCAUAAAUCUCCUCUGCACUCUUUCCAGCUUAACAGCAUCUUUCCUAUAGUGGCAGGAUGGCAGGGCUGGAGGUUUGUCUCCACCAAAGGAGGUGUAAGGUGCUCCUUCCCUCCGCUAGCCUGCAGGUCACCCUUGGGCGAGGUGUAGCACCUGCUUAGCCCCCGAUCAGGGUCACGUGGACCCAAGGGAGCAGGUGGUGGAUGGUCAGAUGAGCAGCUGAUGCAGAUCACAAUUCCUGGUUAUGCGACCACUGACGCCAGGCAGACAAUUUCUGAAGAGUAUUGAUAAUGGCUGGGGUCACCCGUCUUGUAAAGACACUGCCCAGAAGAAGGCAAUGGCAAACCACUUCUGUAGAAAAAUUUGCCAAGAACAAUCAUGGUCAUUGAAAGACUGUGAUCACCCACGUCAUGUAACACAGUGCAUCACGAACAAAUCCAUGGGGGGGGGGUGCGGUUGGCCAAAAAUGAACACCAGAUUCCAAAAGUGGUCUCCAACAUCCUAAACAGCUGAAAAGAAAGGUCCUCCAUCAGCUUUCGAGCUGGGCUGUCCCUCGUGUCCCCAGAGCCUGCGUCCACUCCCGCUGCAAAGUCACAGGGAGGGUGUGGGCUGAGACUGGGUGCUGUGUGAAUGCAGAAUUGUUGUUGGUCAGCCACAGUGAGGGUCAGGUCCCAGCUCAGCUUGUGUGUGUUUUAAAUUUAUUAAUACAUAUGUAUAUCCUGAUAAAAGCUAACUGUGAAAUAUAGAGUUCAUAGGAUAAUCCAUACAUACACAUUUAUAGAACAGGCAAAUGACCGAGAUCAGGAGAAAUCAAUCUCCUGUGAGUGAGAUAUUGAUGUCAUUCACAGCAUCCCUGGAUAAAGUGACAUCAGUUACAAAAAAAACUGAAUGUUUUGCAAUACUGGGCUAUUUGGCCCCUCGACCUCCCUGCUGUCCAAUGAGAUCAUGGGGGAGCCUUGCCCCCAAAGGCAGGUGGUUGAAGUGGCCAUUUCCCUUUGGGCAGUGGGGUUGCAUGUAGAGUGGGCAGGAACGGGGGCUCACCCUACCCACUGCUGUCUGUAAGGUCGAGGGGUAAACGGCUCUCUGUGGAGGCUUUUAUUGCUAACAGUCCCAUGCAGUGGGUGGGGGCCUGGGGAGUUCGUGCUCUCUGCUUUUCGUGGUCCCAUCAUCCAGCCCCUCGAGGUCACGCUGAAUCCCGAGACAGCCACGCAGCAAGGAAUAUAUCUGUUCCCCUUGGCAAUGUGGCACAUCCCCUUUAACAUAGCAUACUGUGGGUGGGGGAGCUACACCAAUUACCAUUUAACACAGAACACUGCCCCUUUAAUGAAGAACCUCCCCUUUAAAGCAGAAUGCUGCACCUUUAAGAGGGGAACCUUCUCCUCGAGAGAGGAAACUCCCCUUUAAUACAGAAUACUGUCUCUUUAAUGAUGGACAACUUCCCCUUUUACACGGAACCCUUCAACUGAAGACUUACCUCCUUGAACACAAAACACUGCCCCUUUAAGAGGGGAACCUCCCCUUUAACUCAGUACACCGCACCUUCUCUGGCUCUCAUUGCAAGGGUUAAAGGGAAGGUUGCCCCUCGUUAAAGGGCAGAUCUUUGUGUUAGAGGGGAGGCUACACCCAUGCUCCAGCUGUGUGUCACCAGAGGGGUCAGUGUGUCCUCCCUGCCCAACCCCACCACUGGGACAAUCGACUCCAGGGAGGGGUCAUCAGGGUUCCUGGGUGAGAGGGGUGCGAGGCAGGAGGCAAGUUUGGGGUUUCAGUGCUCAAGAGAGAGGGUGAAAUGGAGGACAUCCUCCCUGGAGUCAGUGGUGGGACGGGGAGGCGGGGGGGUGCUUUCUACCCUACUCUCCCCAUGUUCCUGAGGAAGGGAGGGGGCACUGGUUUACCCCGGCAUAGAAACUUUAACCCGGGGUAGAAACUUUAACCCUUUGGGGGAAGGUACUGUCCAAUCUGUUCCUGCCACCACCCUGGGGGUACGAGUGACCACCUGGUGGCUGGAGCCUGUGGGACAGCCAGGAGGGCUGGUCUCACCCCAGACACUGAUUCCGGGCUCAGCUGUCAUCUCACAGGGGACAUCCGGGGUGGGGGGGUGACCCUCACAGACCACAGCCAUCUCGUGCUCAGCUUCACCCCACCUCCUCCCCUGACUACAGACUUGGAGGGAGGGAGGCAGGAGAAAUUCCCAGAAAGGCCAGAGGGGAUGAACUUUCUCGCACCAGGUUGCAAGUUCUGGACGGAUGAUCCAACAGAAUUGGGGUCUCUCCCUGGGGUCAGAGAGACCACAAACACUGCGACUUUGGCCCAUUAAUGAGAGGGAGGAACCCGGGGAGGGGCAUUCCCCCCCC